ensembl:misc_RNA Y_RNA Y RNA
GAAUGGUCCAAGGGCAAUAGUGUUUACAACUAAAUUGAUCACAAGCAGUUACAGAUUUCCUUGUUCCUUCUCCUCUUUCACUGUUUCAUUUGACUAAUUUUUU